UCGGCCUCAGGCAGGGACCAGAUACAAGCAGCAGUCUCUGGCGGGGCAGGCAGACAGACGCGUGAGGCGGCUGGCGCCGGAUGCUUCUUUAAUGAAAUAGUGCCAUAGACUGAAAACGCAAACAUGAGGAUGGCAGGUAAGAUAUUUAUUUCAUUUGUAUUUGCAUUAAUUUGGAAAUAAAUCAUAUUGUUCAUUAAUGAAUAAAAGAUUA
rnacentral:lncRNA from 1 species